UACGGAAGGCAGCAGUGGGGAAUAUUGCACAAUGGGCGCAAGCCUGAUGCAGCCAUGCCGCGUGUAUGAAAAAGGCCUUCGGGUUGUAAAGUACUUUCAGUCGUGAGGAAGGUGUUAAGGUUAAUAACCUUAGCAAUUGACGUUAGCGACAGAAGAAGCACCGGCUAACUCCGUGCCAGCAGCCGCGGUAAUACGGAGGGUGCGAGCGUUAAUCGGAAUUACUGGGCGUAAAGGGCACGCAGGCGGUUAAUUAAGUUGGAUGUGAAAUCCCCGGGCUUAACCUGGGAAUGGCAUUCAAGACUGGUUAGCUAGAGUCUUGUAGAGGGGGUAGAAUUCCAUGUGUAGCGGUGAAAUGCGUAGAGAUGUGGAGGAAUACCGGUGGCGAAGGCGGCCCCUGGGACAAAGACUGACGCUCGAUGUGCGAAAGCGUGGGGAGCAAACGAGGGAUUAGAUACC
rnacentral:rRNA from 1 species